AGCUUUGCACAGUGGCAUGAUCGUAGUCAAUGAGGUUUAUCCAGGGUGCGAUUACUGCUAAUUGAAAAUUUUUCCCAAUACUCCACCAUGACUUCCAGAAAUAUAGUUGGCAUUGACAAUUUUUGACAGUCUCUGCAGAGG
ensembl:snRNA U4 U4 spliceosomal RNA